rnacentral:rRNA from 1 species
UGAGGAAUAUUGGUCAAUGGGCGAGAGCCUGAACCAGCCAAGUAGCGUGCAGGAUGACGGCCCUAUGGGUUGUAAACUGCUUUUAUGUGGGGAUAAAGUGCGUGACGUGUCAUGCAUUGCAGGUACCACAUGAAUAAGGACCGGGUAAUUCCGUGCCAGCAGCCGCGGUAAUACGGAAGGUCCGGGCGUUAUCCGGAUUUAUUGGGUUUAAAGGGAGCGUAGGCUGUCUAUUAAGCGUGUUGUGAAAUUUACCGGCUCAACCGGUGGCUUGCAGCGCGAACUGGUCGACUUGAGUAUGCAGGAAGUAGGCGGAAUUCAUGGUGUAGCGGUGAAAUGCUUAGAUAUCAUGACGAACUCCGAUUGCGCAGGCAGCUUACUGUAGCAUAACUGACGCUGAUGCUCGAAAGUGCGGGUAUCAAACAGG